rnacentral:rRNA from 1 species
GACGAACGCUGGCGGCGUGCCUAAUACAUGCAAGUAGAACACUGAAGAGAGGAGCUUGCUCUUCUUGGAUGAGUUGCGAACGGGUGAGUAACGCGUAGGUAACCUGCCUUGUAGCGGGGGAUAACUAUUGGAAACGAUAGCUAAUACCGCAUAACAAUGGAUGACACAUGUCAUUUAUUUGAAAGGGGCAAUUGCUCCACUACAAGAUGGACCUGCGUUGUAUUAGCUAGUAGGUGAGGUAAUGGCUCACCUAGGCGACGAUACAUAGCCGACCUGAGAGGGUGAUCGGCCACACUGGGACUGAGACACGGCCCAGACUCCUACGGGAGGCAGCAGUAGGGAAUAGUCGGCAAUGGGGGCAACCCUGACCGAGCAACGCCGCGUGAGUGAAGAAGGUUUUCGGAUCGUAAAGCUCUGUUGUAAGUCAAGAACGGGUGUGAGAGUGGAAAGUUCACACUGUGACGGUAGCUUACCAGAAAGGGACGGCUAACUACGUG